GCACAGUAUAGGUAAUCCUUGAUUUACAACCACAAUUGAGCUCAACACUUCUGUUGAUAAGCAAGCUAUUGGUUAAAUAUAAUGAAUUCAAGGACAGCAAGGUUACUUCCUCCCAAGGUUCCAGUCACCUUUGCCCUUUUGGCCUAUUUUGUCCAGUGCUGUGGCCUGUCGGCCGCCGGCCCCUCCAGCAACCAAAUCAGAUGAGGAGACAGCAUGGGAGUCAGGAUCAGCAUCAAGGCAACCUAAGAGUUCCAAGGGGGAAGAAGGAAUGGAACUGUCAGAGAGAGAGAGAGAGGCAGAGCCUGGGUCAUCCGUCAGCCCUCAGAUGGAAAGUCAACAGCCCCCAGGUCUGGAGAUGGCUGAUGAGGAAGAGGAGGAACAGCUGGGUCCAGUGCCUAACGCGCAGAAGGCAGAGGAGAGGAGAGCAGUGGAAAUCUUUGGGCCGAUCCUUGGGACAGAAGAGCCACCACUGCUAGCAAAGCCCCACCCUAGUUCUGGGGAUAAAAGACGGGGGUGGAGAUGAAUUGAUGUGGCAGACAACUAUUCAUUUCCCUGCUGGACAGACUUGUUAGCCUGCUGUGAGAGAGAGACUUUUUGCACUGCUGACGUUCCUAAUAAAGGAAUCGUUGAUUGAU